rnacentral:lncRNA from 1 species
ACAAAUACAUACCCUUUCCGUUCCUCGCGCUAUUUAUAGAAAGGUAAACAGACGACGAGAAAUCACCCACAAGUGCAGGAAUGCACCAGGAAUUGAAAUUUGUAAGUAUCUCGUGUAAAAGUGAAGAUAUAGAAGGUAGGGAAUUUUUUAUAAGAACCACAUUUUUCUAUGUUUUUUGUAAAAAAAAAUUGUUAUUUCUAAAAAUAACCUGGGGAUCCAUACUUUUCCGAAAUCUAGAAUACUUUCUGCGUAAAAUCAUGUCUGAUAUGUGUUGAUCUGUUCUACAUAUGCAAGGCGCGAUCCUGGCAAAGAUGGUAUGUUUCGUCAAAGAAAAGGAGAAUAAAGAUAGCCGUGAACGUUUACGACGUUACACAGAAGUUCAUGAAAUGUUUUUCUCCGUAGAUUCAAGUUUAGCAAAACAAUGCAAUCGGCGCCUCAUAGAAGUGUUUUCCUUGUUCAUAAGAUUAAUAACUAUGUUUUAUAAUCAUUUUUAUCCAUUAUUGUGUUUCAAUUUUGUCGUCUUACACGGAGAACACUAUAGUAUGACUCUUCACAUUGGAUGAAUUUGAUAAUAUUAUUGAUAGAAAUUUUAUAUUUUAUUAUUUCAAUAUGGAUUAAUUCCCUUUCCAGGUAAAAACUAUUUGAGGCACUAUGCGGGAUAAUAAAUAAUAGAUACUCUUCAUAUGUUUUAAUAUAUUUAAAUGUGAUAAUGAUUAAUGUGGCCAAUUCUGCAUUUUGGUGAAAAGAAUUGGUACUUCUGUUGUUUAAUUUUUUUUUAAAGCACAUCCACUGAAAUUUAAAACUAGUUAACUAAAAGCAGUAACACUUCCAGUAAAUACAACAAGUUGAAAUAAUGUCUGUAAAUGAGAUGAGCAAAGCAGUUAGAUUGUGGAAAAAAAUCAUGCAAGACACAAACUGUAUUUUUCCUUUGAAUAAGUGUUAAUUACUUUAUUAUACAUAUACUGUUAUGUUUGCAGGUCACAAGUUGAAAUCAGCUAUAAAGUAAUCAGAACUUUUAAUAAUGAAAGACUCAAUUAAUGCAGUGAGGUAAGACUUUGAUUUUUGUUUAAGACCUAAGGGUCGACUGCAGCAUUAAAAUAUUUUUAUCCCUAGACUACUACCGUUUCAUAAGUGAUGUGUCUUUUUAACUGUGUUGGAUAUAUGUAUACACAGCCACGUCCAGUUGGAAUGGAGAUUUAAAUUAUGAUGAAUUGAUAGGAAAUUGAUUUGCAUUUUGAAUAUUUAAGAAUCCUUGCAAUAAGUCAUCAGAUUUCUAUUGUUGGUCUCUAACAAGGAAAUGUUUUGUCAUUUAUCCAACAUUUUAAGAAUGAUUGCUUAGUUAUCAUAUUCUGUUCAACAAUUACUUAAGUAUCACCUAACACUAUGUAUAAAAUUAAAAUCAAUGCUUUCUGAAAUCUGUAAUGAGACUACAUAUGAGCAUGCCAUUCUGUGUGAUGUUUUUUUUUCAGGUCUCAUCAACUUUCUGUUUACCAAAUUAUUAUGGCAGGAGUAUAAUUUUCACAUUUCAACUAGUUUGCUAUCCUGAACACAAAUGAAAUAACUGACACUAGACUGUACAUACACCAAUCAUUUAUUCAAUCAAUCUUUUAUUUAUCAUAACAGUUACAUUGUAGUUUAUAAAAUGUCACACCCUUUUUUGUUGGACCAAUUCAUUAGGCCAAACACCUAAAAUCAACAUAAGCACACACACACCUAGUGUUUGUAAAAGCUAGGCAUACAUUUCACCAUGAUUGCAAUAUGAAGUGAGCUGUUAUUUUACUUUCAGAUAACAAAGUUGAAGAAGUAAACCAAAAGAAGCAUUAUUCUACAAGGUAAAUAUUAUUUUUAAAUGUCUGAAUUAUUUGUGGUAUUUUGACAUUUGAAGAAAGCAGUCUUAUAAAAGAUUGACAACUGCUACAACCAAGAAAUUUAUCUUUGAAAGUGAAAGAGCCAAAAUUCAACAACAUUUAGAGGAGUGAAAUAAUCCUUUAGAAAAGUUUUAACAAAUUAAUUCAAUGAGUUGAAUCUAAAAGAAAAGAAUGAACCUAUUGUCAUCUCUUUGAAGUAAAUGUUUAGUGCAGUUUGAUGUCCUUUAUUCAAUGAAUGUAGUACAAUAAAAAAAAAAUAUGUACUGUACAUGUAGUGGAAAAUACUCUUCUUCUUGAUUUUAGAAAUAUGUAUCCACAACUACAAGCCCUUGGGUACAAGUUCUGUUUAGGAAUAGCUGCACAUUUGAUUAAUUUUUAGCUCUUUGUCUCAAGGACAAUGCCUUACUAAUGGCAUGGUUCUUGAAUUGAGUAAACUUAAGGAGUCACUGAGUGUUACAAACAAGUUUGUUUAUGUUUGGUGUUGUCAACUUCUGGGUAGAGAUCUGGACAUAUCCAAAAACAGUAUAACAAAAAUGAACAAAUCUAUAAAAUAUAUUAGAAAUAAAGAAAAAAAAAUUGCAAAAAUCAGCAAAUAGUUUUGGGAAAGAUAAACUUGGCAAAUUUCUGCAUGGCAAGUUCUCUGCAAUAUCCGUGAUGAGCAACAUCACAAAGUCUCUGCAACUAAACCUUUGAAGACAGAAUUGACAAAACAGGUUAAUAGAUGUAACAGCUUAAUGAAACAAAACACUCUACUACAGAAAUCUUACAGAAACAGUAUUCAAAAUAUAUUUAGUAUGAAAAGAACAUUGGUUGACUUAAAGAAUAGUUUAGCAAACAGAUCAAAAGCAGAAAUCAAAUUACUGAAGUCAAACAAAAUACUGAAGAAUUCAGCUAAAAAUGCAGAAACAGGUAUGAAAGCAAUGCAAAAAUGUUUACAAAAUGAAAAAAAUACGGAUCAGAUAUAUUAAUAAUAUAACACGGAUGGAAAAGAAAAGAACAAUAGAGAAAUGUAAAUAUUGGGAAAACAUUGCACAAAAAACAAGAUACCUAAAAGAUCAUUUACAAGCAAAACAUGAGACUGAAGUAAAAAUAUUGCAAGAGCAGAUACUUAAUAUGAGACAAGAACAAAAGGCAAACAAACAUGAAAUAAAUAAAACUAAAGAUGAGUUGCAUUUCUUGUUGAUAAUUUAAAUGAAAAAAAACAGGUAGACUUGACUGUACCGGCACCUAAUGGGAAAUAUACGUUUUCAACAGAUACUAAUUUAUGCAUCAUGGAAUUGUUGAAUGCAAAUGUCGCCUUUGAGAAGGUAUCUUGUGUCAUUUCAAGUGUCAUGAAACUAUGUAAUGUUGACAGUAGAAAUAACAUUUCUCCAAAGAAAGACUAUGUCUCAACCAUCAGUUCAACAAGACUGUUUGUAAGUCAGGCUCAUGCAGCAAUUGUAUGCUCUGAACAGGAAAACCAGACUUUAUACACUGACGAAACAAAGAAGAAUGGGCAAGCCAUAUGGGGUUUUCGUUACAAAUGAGGACAAGAAGCCAUUUCUUUUAGGGUUACGUCAAAUGUCGAACAAGGCUGCCCAAACACAACUAGAUGUAUUUAAGCAAAUCUUAGGUGAUAUCGAGUUGCGAUAUAAUCAGGUGACAACUAAUGACGUAAAUAAUCAAUUAUCCAUCAAAAUUUUACAAAAUAUAAAAUGUACCAUGUCAGAUAGAGCUGCUACCCAGGUAUCAUUUAACCAACUCCUAGAAUCGUAUAGAUCAUCCAUGUUACAAGAACAUCUUGAAAAUUAUCACCUGUUGCAAGAACCUGACCAAAUGUUACUUAGCAAAAUGUACAAUUUCUUCUGCGGUUUACAUCUCCUAGUUAAUAUUGCUGAAUUAAUGAACAACGUGUUCAAUAAUUUCCACAAAGAUCCCCCCGAAGGUACUGAACAUCCUGAAAUAAGUCUGAAAGGUGAGUCCUCCGUAUUAAAUGCUGUUAGAAUUGCAAGUAAAGCAUUAGCAUCCGGGGCAGAUGAGAAAAACGGUGUAUAUCUGGAAUUCAAAACAUACUUACAACGUCAACAAAUCAAUAAAUAUGAAAUCAAACCUUUCCUUGGAAACCGCUUUAAUGUUGUAUUCCACAAUGCUGGAGCAAUUUAUCACUUGAGAAGUCAUAUCAUAAUUUCUUAAAAAAUGUGUAAAGGCGAAGGAACACCAGGCAAGCUAAAUCAGCUACUAAAAGCCGUACUCUCUUGUUUGCAGAAUGACACAAUAAUGGUAGGAUGUCGGGCUCUUGGUCUAUUCAAUAAAUUUAUUACCUCCCCAUUGUGGAAAAUACUUGAAGGCGAUAUACAUAUAUUGCACAUGAACCAGAAAUACCAACAUUUAGUUCAAUUUCUGGAAGAUAUUUCAACUGAUGUUGAGAAAAUUAAAUUGUUCAUGACAGGAGAACUCGUACCAUUUCCAUCUGUUGAUGUGAAAAAGGAUGACAUUUGGGCAUCUCUUGUUAGCAAUCACAAUGAUGAAAAAUGCGCUGCCUUUUUGAUACAGAUGUGUUCUGCUACUAGCAAGGCUUUAUCACAAAAAGUUAAAGAUCAUUUAGGAGAUGGCCAACAUACACAAUAUGGUAUCGAUCGCAGCAAAACUUUCAAUUCUGUUUUGCCCCAUAAUAAAUUACCAGAAUUUAUUUUUGGACAUUUAGAUUGGCUAAUCAAACACAGACCCAAUUGCAUCUCGCCUAGCAAAAUGAGGCCCACAUAGUUUACAAUGUAAAUAAAACUGGUGCAUGGCUAAAUCAGCAGACAGAACAAAAUGUACAGGAACUUAUUAACAGAUCAAAAUUAAAAAUUAAAGAUAUUAAAAUUACUGAAAAACAAAGACUGCUGGAUUUGAAAAAUGAACUUGAAAGAAUAAGUCGAGAGAAAGAAGAGAAAGCAAAAAGGAUACUGAUAAAGAAGUGUAACGAAAAAAAGAAACUUGUAGAACACAUUCUAAAAUUAGGACUUUGGGACAAUGCACGAAAGGUCGACCAGGAAUUGACAAAAAUUAAAUUUAUAAAGAACAAAAGAGAGAUUUUAAAAACUCAAAUAAAAUUUAGGCAACUUGUUUUAGAACAACCUGGUGAAAAAACUUUGUUCUAAGUUUCUCAGGUGAACAAAAAGCCAGUCACAAUUUCUCAGUUGACAAAAAACUUGAAAACAUUGAUUAAAAAACUAGGUAAUGCAGCAGUUCCUACUCAGAUCUUGGAACAUACUAUCGCUGAGGAUUUACAUGAUUUUGGUAAAUCAUUUCUGUUCAUAAAAAUAAAGUUUCUGAAAGUUUAGAAUAAUUUAUUACCAAAAGCUUACACAACUUUAAUAAAAUAAAUUGUAUUUUUUUAGAAAAUUACUGUAAAAAAAAAUGGCUUUAAAUAUUUUAUUCUAAACAUUUCAAUAAAAUCUUUCAGUAUUUAUUUUUGAGUGUUUCUUUGUUGAUGUUUAUGUCUUAAAUGAAACUCAGCUAGUUUGUUAUGUAGUUUUUAUAAAAAAAGUUUCAAGAUUUACAAAUUUGAAUUAAUUACAUGGUAAUAUUGACAAAUUUACAUUACAAAAAUUAACAGAUGUUAUUAAAAUUUUGUAUUUAUCAGCAAUAAACAAGAACAUUUUUAUAUAUCCUUUCAUCAGCCAGAAUACACAUGAAAUAUUUGCCAAUGGACAUAAAGCAACCAAUCUAUAUUUCUGGCAAGAUAAUUUUCCUGUUAUUAAAGAUAUGAUGUAUACAAUAUGAUAAAAAUAAUAUAUGUUUGUUAAAAUUAAUAAGUACAGAACAAAAAUAGUAAUUACUUGUCUAUUUUAUACUUUCAGGUGGUGCCGCUGAGCAAUAAGAUGGACCUAGCUGUUGGUGGUGGAACUUUUUUUAUUAAGAAGAAAUGUUGAACAUUACAGAUUUUAAAGACAUUUAUUUGUACAUGUGGUGUAAAGACAACAAAAAACUAAAAUAAAAU